AAAAAUAUGAAACAAUAUUUUUCUGGAAUUAGCCAAGUAAGGUCGCCACCCCGAGUUUGAAUACCUCUGCAUUAACGUAAUCCGCUCUCCUCCGCUUCCAUCUUCUAAUUGCUUUGUGAAUCAACUGACAGUUCACAUUUUCAAAAAUCGGAUCCUGUGUUCCCGACACCAACCGUGGUGAUCACCGAUUGUGUAGAUGGGAGGCCGCUCAGUGGAAGUGUAAAUGUGAAGCUGAUUGGUGACGGUGGGGUAGAUAUCACACUUGCUGUGGCGGUGGCAUAUUCUUUGUAUCACAUCAAGUUGACUAUUCAAAGAACUUCAGGAAGACCAUGAGCUUCCUAGAAGCAUUUGUCUUUAAGCGCAAAACACAUGUGCCUAUUGCUGUGCAGAGGGUUUACAACUCUUUGUAGAGAACCAAAAUACUCUGCAAUGGAAAGUGUACAAGCAUAGUUAAUACACAAACAUGUUGUUAGAAUCAUUUAUACGUACUUACAAACAUUUCAUCCUGUUCUUCUACAGUACCUCUAGUUUUCUCAUUAUUUGUUAAAGCACAACGUGGAUUUAAUACUUGCUGGUAUUAAUCUGUAAGGCUGAUAUAAAGCCCUUUUCUCUUCUGUUGUGAAAAGGUUUAUUUUUUAACACCUUUGUUCAAGUUGUAAGUACACAAAAAUUAUACACAUGCUGACAAGAGAAGGUGUUUUGCAGUUGUUGCAGCAGACUGGUGUUAGUCGACCUGAAGGAAAUUACUGUGUACUAUUCUGAGACUAGGGUAGAUUGCAAUAGCCUAUUCUCGUAUAUAGGCUAUUUGUGUGGUAGGACUUGAGAUUCAUUAUUUUGUCACUGUUGGGCCGUGUAAUAGAUAUUUUCUAAAUAAAA
ensembl:lncRNA